UGUUAUGGAGUGUGAAGCAGGUUUUAAAUAUGCUCACCAUAUUUUGUGAGUUGUAAAAUAUUACAAGUAUUAUAUGUGUGAUUCUUACGGUAGAACAUGACUACAUACUUUUAAAACAGAAAACAGUGAUGGCAGAAGUUUGAUGCUGUUCAAGUGCUCAAAUCAAAGCUGUGCAUUCACCUAACCCAGCUCAGGUGUAAACUGAAUGAAGAACCUAUCCACAUGACUAGAACAGCAGGCUGUGGCAUCAUAAAUCUACAUGACUGUCAACCAACGUUUCCAGAUGCUGGCUGUAUUGGAGUAGAAAGCUCUGCCAGAAAUGGAGGCCUACAGGAAACCAGCAGCCAAAACUGCAGCCAUCACAGCCCUCUGGUGUGCUCUGGAAUGAAACAAUUGAAACUUCCUAAAAAGGUGUGUCCAGAAAACAUAUAACUGCCAUUGCUCAGGCUUUUGGAUGACCCUCUCA